rnacentral:rRNA from 1 species
AAGAAAGCACACUUCAAUUAUACAUUAAACAGUGCCAAUCUUUGUUCAGGUAACGAAACCGCAGACUGCUCAUUAGUACGCUCAUAACCUGCAGGAUUGCGACUCCUCGUCUGUUUUGGAGAGCUGCAGUAAUUCUGGAGCCCAUACUUGCACUUGUAUCAAAGUAAGUGAAGUAAGCUCGUAAAGUUAACAUACAAGGGGAGGUCCAUUGGAUGAGUGUUCUAUUAGGCCUAACCGAGUAUCUGUCCCUUGGUGGCCAAUUACGGGUGACGGGCGAUUAUCGUCGGAUUGCCCGUGAAGGAGCCUGAGAGACAGCUACUAUGCCUACGGGCAGCAGCAAGCGCGAAACUUACCCACUCGAUGGAGUAGGAGGUAAUAAUGACUAGUUCCAACUGUGAAUUUCGGACCAGAUUGGAUAGAUUGGCUUUUCAAAGUUGUCAAGCAAUCUAGCAGAGGGCCAGGCUGGUGCCAGCAGCUGCGGUAAUUCCAGUUCUGCGAGAUUGCUCCCAUUUUGUUGCAGUUAAAACGCCCGUAGUCAGAAGUCUUUACAAGGAAGGACAAGACCGUCCACCGUGAAUAAAACAGGAUGCUUAGGGUUGCUUUUGUUGAAUAUGUAAGCUAGGUCUAGAGUAUUUACCUAUUUAGGGUAAGGUAAACGAGAGUCAAAGGGUGUGGUGGUAUUCCGUGGCGAGCGGUGGAAUGCUCUGACACAAUUGGAGACCAACGAAAGCGAAAGCAGCAACCGAUACGUUUUCUGUCGAUCAAGGGCGAGAGUAAGGGGAUGCGAACCGGAUCAGAGACCAUUGUAUUCCCUACUGUAAAAGAUCUCGAAAAGCGGCUAUCCAAGUCAGAGUAAUACCUGUUGAGUAAUCGUAGUUAGUGGACUCUGGGGGAACACGAUCGCAAGAGUGAAACUUGUAGGAAUUGACGGAAGGGCACACAAGGGGUGGAGCCUGUGGCUCAAUAUGAAUCAACACGGGGACACUUACCAAGACUAGAUGCUUUGGUGACUGACCGUCGAAAGGACAUUCAGGAAAGAUUUUUGCGUGGUGAAUGACCGUUGGUACUGCGUGGGUUGACCUAUCAUUCGUUGAAUCAAGUAACGAGCGAAACUACCGCCGUCUAUUCUUGAGUUGCGAUUGAUAGAGAGGCGAGAUCGAGGGAGUACAGCAUGGUAUCAACCGAGAGGAAGGAGGUAGUAAUAACAGGUCCGUGAUGUACUUUAGAUCCCCUGGGCUGCACGCGUGCUACAGUGAGCAUGAUAAAGAGAAGCGAUAUUGAGAAGUAGAGCUACUCACUAAUCAAGCCCGUGGUUGGGAUUGAGAUUUGUAAUGAGACUCAUAAACCAGGAAUCCCUGGUAAGCGUGUAUCAACAGCGCACGUUGAAUACAUCCCUGCCCUUUGUCCACACCGCCCGUGGCUCCUCCCGAUUGGAUGACCUUGUGAAAACAUCGGACUAUUAGGAAGGUGUUGACAUCAUGUUAUCCAGAGGAAGGAGAAGUCGUAACAAGGUAACG